UGGUUUCAUUAGCCAUAGUAACAACGAAUUACAGGAAGUCAGCAGCGGUCAUAGUAGCUGAGAAGGUGAGGAAACUCACUGGAGCGAAGGAC
rfam:Clostridiales bacterium KLE1615 genomic scaffold Scaffold390, whole genome shotgun sequence.